rnacentral:misc_RNA from 1 species
UCUCCGUAGGUGAACCAGCGGAAGGAUCAUUCACAAUAAGUGUUUUAUGGCACUCUUGAAAAAAUACAUAUCCACCUUGUGUGCAACGUGAUGAGACCCUAUAUCGUUAUCUUUUAGGUUACGGAAGGGGGAACGGCUACAACUUACCCACAUCGCCUUUAACUGAUUUGUCUGAACAUUUGUUUUCACGAAUUAACUUAAUUCGAAGUUACAACUUUCAACAACGGAUCUCUUGGCUCUC